rnacentral:rRNA from 1 species
GAUCAUGGCUCAGGAUGAACGCUAGCUACAGGCUUAACACAUGCGAGUCGAGGGGCAGCAUGGUCUUAGCUUGCUAAGGCCGAUGGCGACCGGCGCACGGGUGAGUAACACGUAUCCAACCUGUCGUCUACUCUUGGACAGCCUUCUGAAAGGAAGAUUAAUACAAGAUGGCAUCAUGAGUCCGCAUGUUCACAUGAUUAAAGGUAUUCCGGUAGACGAUGGGG